CAGUAGCGGCGAGCGAACGGGGAGGAGCCCAGAGCCUGAAUCAGCAUGUGUGUUAGUGGAAGCGUCUGGAAAGGCGCGCGAUACAGGGUGACAGCCCCGUACACAAAAGCGCAUGUGCUGUGAGCUCGAUGAGUAGGGCGGGACACGUGGUAUCCUGUCUGAAUAUGGGGGGACCAUCCUCCAAGGCUAAAUACUCCUGACUGACCGAUAGUGAACCAGUACCGUGAGGGAAAGGCGAAAAGAACCCCGGCGAGGGGAGUGAAAAAGAACCUGAAACCGUGUACGUACAAGCAGUGGGAGCACAGGUUUACCUGUGUGACUGCGUACCUUUUGUAUAAUGGGUCAGCGACUUAUAUUCUGUAGCAAGGUUAACCGAAUAGGGGAGCCGGAGGGAAACCGAGUCUUAAUUGGGCGUUAAGUUGCAGGGUAUAGACCCGAAACCCGGUGAUCUAGCCAUGGGCAGGUUGAAGGUUGGGUAACACUAACUGGAGGACCGAACCGACUAAUGUUGAAAAAUUAGCGGAUGACCUGUGGCUGGGGGUGAAAGGCCAAUCAAACCGGGAGAUAGCUGGUUCUCCCCGAAAGCUAUUUAGGUAGCGCCUCGUGAAUUCAUCUCCGGGGGUAGAGCACUGUUUCGGCUAGGGGGCCAUCCCGGCUUACCAACCCGAUGCAAACUGCGAAUACCGGAGAAUGUUAUCACGGGAGACACACGGCGGGUGCUAACGUCCGUCGUGAAGAGGGAAACAACCCAGACCGCCAGCUAAGGUCCCAAAGUCAUGGUUAAGUGGGAAACGAUGUGGGAAGGCCCAGACAGCCAGGAUGUUGGCUUAGAAGCAGCCAUCAUUUAAAGAAAGCGUAAUAGCUCACUGGUCGAGUCGGCCUGCGCGGAAGAUGUAACGGGGCUAAACCAU
rnacentral:rRNA from 1 species